UGUAUUCGGGAGAGACCGCUCCGAGCGGCGCCGAAGGGGAUUUGCACAUGAAACUCUCAGGCAAAAGGACCGGAUA
rnacentral:ncRNA from 1 species